rnacentral:rRNA from 1 species
UGCCAGCAGCCGCGGUAAUACGAAGGGACCUAGCGUAGUUCGGAAUCACUGGGCGUAAAGCGUGUGUAGGCUGCGCGGAAAGUCAAAUGUGAAAGCCCGGGGCUCAACCUCGGAACUGCAUUCGAUACUCCCGUACUAGAGUAAUGGAGAGGUAAGUGGAAUUCCUGGUGUAGCAGUGAAAUGCGUGGAUAUCAGGAGGAACAUCAAUGGCGAAGGCAACUUACUGGACCAAUACUGACGCUGAGGUACGAAAGCGUGGGUAGCAAACAGGAUUAGAUA